CGGGCCGUGUUCUCCAGCCUGCGAGCUUGGAUUGGUUGAGCUUUCGUGGUCCCGCCUCGGGACCGGAAGUUCUCUCUGGACGCCGAGGCCUCCCGGGCUUCGCCUGUGCUUCUCGGUUUCCUCAUCUGUAAGAUGGAGCUAAGAGCCAUACCUGUGUCGGGGUUUUUGUGAGGAUGGAGAUGACGUGAGUGUAUACGGCACACAGAGUUGCUCGAUGUGCACUGUCUUCUGCUGUUAGAAGACUCUUUCUCUGCAUAGGUAACUGGCAGAGAGCGCUGUGCUCCUAUCAGGAAGCUGCGCCUGGCAAACGCAAGCUUGGGAAAACAGAAACCUCUUUU
rnacentral:lncRNA from 1 species